AGCUCGAUGUGCUGAUCUGAGGUCUUUGUGGAAGGAGUCAGGUUCAAGUAAAGUGCUCCUCCCACUUCUGAUGGCUCAGGGGAGUUAAUGGAAGGAGACUGUAAACCUCCCUGGCUAUUUGAUUGACUGUCAUAGUUCUCACAGAAAUUUGCACUUUGAUAAACUAGGCUAGGAUAGUGCUCACCCAUAAAGCACUUCAGCAAGCUGAAGUGGUUUUAGGGUGUGGAGUGAUCCUUUAAGGAGGACUGCUUUGUGUCUUAUACAAAACUUACAUUUAACUAAAUUGCAGAAAUGAGUAGCUUUGAAUUGUCAGGGAUAUAUUAAUAGUCACAGACAAUGGGGAGAAUUCUAUUUUUUGGAGUCUCUAGCCAUCAGGCUUAAGUAACAAGAAUAUAUUUUGUUGUUGUAGCUGUCUUUUUUGCACUUGUUGUUCUUUAAAAUAGUUUCU